UAGUUUGAUAAUCAUUUUUAGGGGCAAGGC
rnacentral:piRNA from 1 species